CAAAUGUCGCUCAGGGGAGCAUUAAAAUUUUCUACACCAUUUGCCCGAGCUCAGCAUAACACUCCCACUCCCCCACAAAGGACAUUGUUGAGACAGUCGGGAGGGUCCUAACAUCGGGCAAUAACCUUAACAGUUCGCUUUCGCAGAGAGAGCUGCCAUCCUAAGAGUAAAGAGCACAGCUGGCUAACAGCGCAGUUUCGUGACGGUAUAAGAGUGUUUUCGGCUUUUUCGGAUUUCAGUGUUGGGUGUCACUGUACAAAAGAGAAUAU
rnacentral:lncRNA from 1 species